GGAUCAGCGCCUUUAUAAAAAGCGACCUCAGAGGGUCCCUCAGCCCUUGUACCGCGCGAGGACACAGCGACAAGACCCUCAGAAGGAAGCCGGCCCUCACCAGGCACCGGAUCUGCAGCAUCUGGGUCACCUUGACGGUGGGCUUCCCAGCCUCCAGAGCCGUGAGAAACUAACUUUUGUUGUUCAAUUCUUCGUGUUUGAUAUGGUGAAGUUUUCAACAGCUUGAAGUCACAUUUCAAGAACAGGAAUUAUCCCUGGAGAGCAGAGAGCACAUUGGGUCAUAAUGGCCAUAGAGGGAUAUUGGACUCCUUCCAGCAUUUCAGAUCACAAGAAAUGCAGAGCUGCUCUGAAGACCCCGGUAGGGCCCAGAGGUGCCCCAGUCAGCAAUACCAUGAGCGUUCUCAUGGCAACUUGUAAACUUGCCUAUGUUGUACAAGGAGGAGAGAUGCUUUAGUGUCCAGUUGGGAAGGAAAAAGAACCCUGGAUCCAGAGUCGUAAGGGGAAAAGAACUGCUCUUUCCAGCAAAGACAAGUUCAUGCACAUCUCUUUUUUUUUUUUUUUUUUUUCUGCUCUGUCUCCAUUUGGGUGGUCUUUCUCCAAAGAAUCAUAAAAAAAUAAGCUAUG